CUAAAUGCGAAGACCAGGAGAAGUACGCGUUCACCCCCCUCAGAGAGGCAUCGCCACCGGCUGUAAGCGAUGCUGGGUUGGGCUCCGCCGAAAUGCACCUGGUAGCAGGUUGACUGAAUGGAAGUAGGUCAUCCCGGCUGCUGCCGUUACCAGUUCAAGCAGGGGCAUUAUGCCCAAGCAGAGUGGAACCGCGAGCCAUCGUCUCUGUA
rnacentral:ncRNA from 2 species